rnacentral:rRNA from 1 species
AAACCMACWGSSAUNGCCUCAGUANCGGCGAGUGAAGCGGCAACAGCUCAAAUUUGAAAUCUGGCCGCAAGGUCCGAGUUGUAAUUUGUAGAGGAUGCUUUUGGCGAGGUGACUUCCGAGUUCCCUGGAACGGGACGCCAUAGAGGGUGAGAGCCCCGUACGGUAGUGACACCGAGCCUUUGUAAAGCUCCUUCGACGAGUCGAGUAGUUUGGGAAUGCUGCUCUAAAUGGGAGGUACAUUUCUUCUAAAGCUAAAUAUUGGCCAGAGACCGAUAGCGCACAAGUAGAGUGAUCGAAAGAUGAAAAGCACUUUGAAAAGAGGGUUAAACAGCACGUGAAAUUGUUAAAAGGGAAGCGCUUGUGACCAGACUUGCGUCCGGUGAAUCACCCAGCUCUCGCGGCUGGGGCACUUCGCCGGCACAGGCCAGCAUCAGCUUGCCGUCGGGGACAAAAGCUUCAGGAACGUGGCUCCUCUCGGGGAGUGUUAUAGCCUGUUGCACAAUACCCUUCGGCGGGCUGAGGUACGCGCUCCGCAAGGAUGCUGNGMRUAMYGGWCAUCAGCGAC